UACAGGGGGUGCAACGUUGCUCGGAAUCAUUGGGCGUAAAGCGCACGUAGGCGGUUCGUUAUGUCGGAUGUGAAAGCCCUUGGCUUAACCGAGGAAGUGCAUCCGAAACUGGCGAGCUAGAGUACGAAAGAGGAUCGCGGAAUUCCCGGUGUAGAGGUGAAAUUCGUAGAUAUCGGGAAGGAACACCGGUGGCGAAGGCGGCGAUCUGGGUCGAUCUGACGCUGAGGUGCGAAAGCGUGGGAGCAACAGG
rnacentral:rRNA from 1 species